GUACACUCCUACGGGAGGCAGCAGUGGGGAAUAUUGGACAAUGGGCGCAAGCCUGAUCCAGCCAUGCCGCGUGAGUGAUGAAGGCCCUAGGGUUGUAAAGCUCUUUCACCGGUGAAGAUAAUGACGGUAACCGGAGAAGAAGCCCCGGCUAACUUCGUGCCAGCAGCCGCGGUAAUACGAAGGGGGCUAGCGUUGUUCGGAUUUACUGGGCGUAAAGCGCACGUAGGCGGACUAUUAAGUCAGGGGUGAAAUCCCGGGGCUCAACCCCGGAACUGCCUUUGAUACUGGUAGUCUUGAGUUCGAGAGAGGUGAGUGGAAUUCCGAGUGUAGAGGUGAAAUUCGUAGAUAUUCGGAGGAACACCAGUGGCGAAGGCGGCUCACUGGCUCGAUACUGACGCUGAGGUGCGAAAGCGUGGGGAGCAAACAGGAUUAGAAACCCCUGUAGUCCCAUGAU
rnacentral:rRNA from 1 species